rnacentral:lncRNA from 1 species
UUAUUUAUUGUAGUUACUGUCUGAUAUUAUUGCAUGCUAUUUUAUUAAUGGUUCUUAUGUUUAGAUAAUUAUUUAUGUUAUUUCUGCUGGACUUACUAUUCUCUCCUUCACUGAGCCGAGGGUCGAUUGGAAAUAGCCUCUCUACCCUUUCGGGUAGGGGUAAGGCUCGUCUACAUAUUACCCUCCCCAGACCCUACUUUGUGGGACAUUACUGGGUAGUUGUU